UCGCUUUCUCUUUGUCCGCCUCGAGGUCCUCUCCCCUCCUGAUUUCGGCCAACUCCCGAACUUUGAGCAGCAGUUUCCUGCGGCAGCACCACUCCAGCUGACCCUCCUCCAGACCCCAGUACAGCAGCUCCUCCUGGAAGGACAGGGCGCACAUCUCCCUCAGGAGGCGCAGCUUCCCGGCCGAGAUGAAAGUCAGGAUCAUGCGAAAGGCGCAAGGGUUCCGGUCAAAGAAGAACUCGUGGGUGGACUCGUCAUAGUCGUCGCAGAUCUGCACGAUCUCCUCGCGGCUGCGGCAAAACCUCAGCCUGCCCAGGCGUGUGAGUGGGAAAGCGUCCAGGGUACUCCAAGGCAGCAGGUACCUGCUGCCCCCCACAUUGACGAUGAGGUGCCUCUGCCGGUGCCGGGGAGUGUCGCUCAGCCCUCCCCGCUGCUGGAUCCGCCUGCAUCGCCGGUAAAAGACUCCCUUGACAGGAGGCACCUCCGAGUGACUUACUGGGACGAUAUGGUUCAGGGAACUGCAAGACGUGUCGCUCAGAUUACUGUAAUCGUUGUCGCUGCUCCGGGAAAUGAUGGGCAUGGUGAAUCAGUCCGCUGCAGACGGUGGCAAAGUCAUCUGUGCACAGACAGGAGGGGAGUUACAUGGAGACACUGCAGAUUCAAAAUCAAUAAGCAAGGCCAAAAGGGAAAGGGCACUUGGUAAUGUGAAGCAUGUUUAGGGGCUCAGAGGGAACAGGGUGUCCUAUAGCGCACAACUCUCUGUGAAAGGGCAUUAGCUCUGCAAUGUGAGCUCAGUUUCUCUCACCUUCAGGUGCUGAGCUGCUGAAUGUUCCCAACGUGUUUUCUUCCAGAAUUCUCAGCCCCACCUACCCAGGUCCUGUUCGUAUAAGGAGUGCUGCUGCUGGUUCAACUUCUAUUUUUUUUUAAGAAAAAGAAAGUCCCGUUCUCAUUCUUGAAAGAGAUGUGCCGCCACGUCCCCCUUUUGACACUUGGCUUCGUUGCUUUCCUUCGCCAAACUCCUUAAGAAGCGAGUAACUCAUCGAAAUAUCUGCCCCAAGAACAUUCGUCAGACUCACCCCUACACGACCCCGGCAGCUUCACAUGAUCGCUAUGCACCCUGCCAUUGCAAACUGAAAUGGGAUUCAGGAAGUUUUGUUUUGGGGGGGACUGUGUCUCUUUUUGCGCGGUUAAAACGACAGACCUGAUUCCCCGUAUUUAAAAGCGCGCUGUUUUAGCUCGCUGUGUCUACGAUCUCGAAGCCCUGAGAAUGAACUGUAAGCAAGAGAAGACCAAGCGACCUUCUGACCCCCUCCCCCGACAAACACAGUACUGUGCUCUCACUGCUCAUUAUGGGGUGUCUGGGGAAGUGGGACCAGAAACAGGGCUGGAUAGUGGGAUUUACAGGCGCAAACACCAACAUAACGCCAGCACAACAGUAAAAAGGAAACUGAAGCCCACAUUUUACCCACGGGAUAAAAAAAAAGCGCAGCUCUUGAAGCGCUAAACUUACUUUGAAAGUAAUGAGCUAAGCGUGAAAUCCACCGGGUCGUUCCUGGGAUUCGAGAAAGCAGCUUGACAUCCCAUAAUGUCAAGUUAACGGAGAGAAAUCCCUUCUCUGAAACAUUUUUUUUUCAAAUUUGUGUCCCUUCACCGAGAUAAACUAAAAGCCAAAGCAUUCCUAAAGCGAAAUUCCAAGCGCCUGUGGUCCGGGAACCCUCUCACAUCCUGAGUGGCGGACCUCGGUCUCCCAAGGAGACGCGGGGUUCCUGCCGCUCUCCUGCCGUGGGUCGGGCACUGCACUGAGCUCCAGCCGCAACGUCCUCCCACAGCCAGGAACCCACACCGUCUCGGAUACAGUUAAAGUGGAAACAGAAACUUUCUGGAGUCGUCACUGUCCUGGAGCUUUUUGCCGAGGUGUGGAAGAGCAGAAGUGAGCUGAGGUGGGUAGUCGGUACAGAGAAUUCCCAACGUGACAGCAGCUCUCAAACACAGGACGUCUUCUAUUUCAACUCACCACAGGCUUUUUAUUAUUUUCUGUGCCUAUCGACUAUGGGCAGAAGAGAUCAGCUACAUCGCAAAGGCAGCCUCUAGAUCACAAUGCUAUAAGGCAAAGCACCCGUUCAGACCAAGUUCAAGCUCAUAACCUGAAAAGAACAACUCAAGAGUACCUACUUCAUCUCAACAAGACUGCAUUUGUUUGGAGGUCAGCCUGACAGAGGGAAUCUGCACUGUCAUGAACAAUAGUAACCAAGACUCCAAGUGCUGUUUUAAUCACCGUUAUAAUUUGAUGACUGGACAGUGUUCCUUAUCUGCCCAAGUUCAACACACAGACAUAUUGAACAUUUUCUUGCAGUCCUGGGUUCGUGCCCUUCCAUCCCCAAGCUAUCCCAAACACAGCACACAUUUUGUGCAAAUACUUAAAAUACAGAAUAUCUCCCCAUGCCCACCCAAUUACAGAACUUUAAGUAAAACAAAACCUGAACAGAGUAUCAGUUGGGGAAAGUUCACUAAAUUUCCAAAGUACUUUUAACCUUCCAUUUCAAGAUUUAUCCUGGCAAGGGAAGUCCCAGAGAAAUUUGCAGUCUUUAUUGUGAGAAGUUGGAGCUGGACCUGACGCUGGUGUCCUGGUGAUCAUGACUGAGACCAUCUGUGGACUGGCGAUCAUCUGCACGGCAAACGGGACCUUGCCCCAUUCAUGUUGGAGUUCUGUGCCUCAUGGGAGGAGGUAGUAGCAUUCUAUGUGGAGGCAGAUUUCGUCGAGCCAAAGAUCUGGACCAAGAAUUACAUCACCCUUCUCUCACCCUUGUCAUUGAUUAUCCACCAGGCUACACAUUUGACCUGUCCUUAUCCAUGUGCCAUCUAAACACCAUCUUUAGGUCACCACCGCUCUGCCCUCAUUGCCUACUGGGAGUCCACAUCAUAUUAUUGGGGGGAGGUGAUGGUCUAGUGCCUUAUUGAUGGACUGUUAAUCCAGAGACCCUGAUAACAUUCUGGGGGCCUGAGUUUGAAUCCUGCCAGGGCAGAUAGUGGAAUUUGAAUUCAAUAAAUAUCUGGAAUUAAGAAUCUAAUGAUAA